AGUCUGCUCCUGGCUUCCUUUGGAUGAAGAUGUAGAACUCUCAGCUCCUCGUGCUCCAUGUCUGCCUGGAUGCUGCCAUGCUCCUGCCAAGAUGAUAAUGGACUCCUCAGAACCUCUCAAAAUUGAAGAUUAUUCAAGAGGAACCGACUGAAAUGCUGAGUAACUACCCAACCAAAACAUUACUACUUUAAAGGAACAUGGGCAAAAUCUUAGUGGUGGCCAUUUUAAAAACAUUGGAAGGAACGUGGCUGUCCUUGGAGGAGUCUAGCUGAAGUGUGAGACACAACUGCAAUGCUCUGUAGUCUUGAACAAGGAUCGAUUGAAGGAAAAAUUAGUCCCACAUGCAAUUGUAAGUAAGUACGCAGUGUGCAGAAGAACUAAGUCUGAUUUGACUCUACUUUGAAGAUGACUGACUCGGCUUGUAGACGCAUAGAGAGAAAGCUAGAAUAAGUUAACAAGCUCUGAACUGUGGGGGGAAAAUCACUAGGUGAUUUUUUUUUUGGUUGCCUAAAUUAUAGUAGGUUGUUUGAAUUAUUUAUAAGCACUAAUUUGAUUUUGAUAUCAUACAAAAACGAUAUAUUGUUUCAGUAGGCAGACAGACAGACAGGGUCUGUCAGAGAUGGAGGCAGAGAAACUGCAGCCUGAAGUGUGGCUCUGCUCCCCAAGUCUAUCAACUGCUGCCCGGAUUCCUGGCAGCAGAAUUCUACGGCUGGCAGGCUCAACGACACAGCCUCCUGCCAACAGGACAUUGGCAAGCAGGGACAUUAGAAAUCUUCCUUGAGAGAAUUUUAACAAAAGCCUAAUAGGCAUUACCACUUGGAACGAUGGCCAAAGGCGAAAAUCCAUAAAAAUCCCCAUCCCCCAAGUCUCUAUACAUGGUAGGGGGGAAAAAUGCAGCCAUUAAGGCAGUGAAAGGAAGUAGGGUCAUUAGGAAAUCAAACUGGCUUGGCUGCAGAGAAGACAAGAACACGGUAAGUGCAAUCCAUCUUCAGAGAACUCCCUUCCCAUCAGGCCUUGGGACCGACUGGGCCAUAAAAGCAGCAGAGAUAAGAUAAAUAAUCACUGGGAAAGCUGACAUCUUUAUAGUGAUCCACAAAUGUCAGCAAUUCACAUCCAUUUUAUGCCCCACUGCAUUUGUCUGUCGCUUCCAGAAAUGUGGGGACACGGGAUUUCCAGCUGAGGACGUUGUUGGGUCACACAGCGGGAUCCAAGGCAGGCUUUAACACACCCACUUCUGUGAUAGAACAUAGGGCCGUAUUUGCUGUCUCCUUGGAACUACACCAAAUCAUGACAGUGUAGUUCUCUUGCUGAAAGGCGGAUAAACAACGUCUGCACUCAAGGCCAGAAGGCUGGUGCAGAGGAGCCUAAGGGUGCGGGGGACCAUAGAUGAGAAGAGAAACUCAACAGUUGACUUUCCAUUUGAGAGUGGGGACGGCACGCCAGGAGAGCAUGGUCCCACAGACACAUGAUAAUGUCCCCUUUAUUUUCUGUUCUCAGACCAGCUCCCGUAGCUGUGGUUUCCCCCCAAAACCUCUCCUCCAGUGUCCAGACACGUGGGAUGCAGAGGAGGGCUUGUGGGAAAGCCUUUCCUAUCCUAGUCUCUUUUGGAGGGCUACAGUUCCUCCCUGAAAGACAGAAAACAAAACAGUCAAAUUGAACUAAAACCAAUAACGAGGCCUCCAUGGAGGACCAUUUUAAUGAAAUUAUCUCCUGAGGCUUUCUGCACACAGUUCCUAAAGACAAGGUCAAGCAGGAAAAAAAAAUCCAGGACUUCUCUUCAUAUUUCUUGUCUGCUCACGAAAAGGUAACUUUGAUUGGUUGGGGUUUUUUGUUUGUUCAUUUGUUUGUUUUUUAAUGAGACACAUGCUUCUGUCUAAAUCCUGGAGUUUCCCAUGAUGUUGACUACAGAAUGAAUAAUUUUGAAUAGCCAAGCACAAUACCCAUAUGCUAAUCAAUGUAAGCUCAAAGUUGCUGAAACCAUGGCAUUCAAUCCUGCUUCCUCAUUCAGCUAAAAAGUUACUGAGAGAGUUUUCCAGACUUUAAAAAUGAUAAAUAAUCUUUUAUUUUAUUAUGCCUGUAUUUGCAUUUAUAAAAUCAGAGAGUAUAAAUUCAUUUAUUUCCUUUAAAGCCCAUAUAUAUAUAUAUAUAUAUAUAUAUAUAUAUAUAUAUAUAUAUAUGCACACACAUACAUGCCUUUUUGGAAGUAGCAAGGUAUCCAUAAAUAGGAUACUAGUUAAAUAAGUUGUAAUAUCUCCAAAUAUGGGAUAAAGUAUCAUGAAUCUACUAAAAACAUUGGCCCAAAUCUUCGGAAAUUCUUGUGGAACAACCUCCAAGAUACAUUGUUAAGGAUAUAUAAAAAAGUAAAACCCUUAUGUGGAGCUGAGCAAGGUGAUCCCAGUGCUUGGGAGUCUGACACAGGAGGAUGACCUCAAUUUACAGCCAUAAAUGAGCUACAGAGUGAAACCAGGGCCCGUCUUGUUGUAGAAUAAGAAGAUGUGUCAAAAAGCAAAUGAGGGGGGCUGGAGAGAUGGCUCAGAGGUUAAGAGCACCGACUGCUCUUCCAGAGGUCCCGAGUUCAAAUCCCAGCAACCACAUGGUGGCUCGCAACCAUCUGUAAUGGGAUCUGAUGCCCUCUCCUGGUGUGUCUGAAGACAGCUACAGUGUACUCAUAUAUAAUAAAUAAAUAAAUAAAUCUUUAAAAAGCAAA